rnacentral:lncRNA from 1 species
CAGACUACUGCCACGCCGGCUGGCUAGGUCGCUCUGAGACAUGUAUGCUCUGCUCUUGUUGCUGAUGCUGCUGUUCUUUGCUGACAUUGGACCCCAGAUUUUUGACUUUGCAACAUGGACCAAUGACCCAUGGCUCUUUAAGAGUCUUGCAAUCCUUCAGUGCCAGAUUGGAACUGUUGAGGCAACCAGAUUUGUGGACUGAUUAGUCACUGCAUUAAAUGUCACUCCUCUCUCUUGUAUGCUGAGACACUGAGGAGAAAUUAUUUUCUGAAGAGUCAUCUGACACCAGCAAUCUUCGCGCCGGACCGAAUUUGGCAGUGGGAUAUGACACACUGAGACCCUGGUGGCAGUUCUGUCUCCAUCCACCGGCUCAGCAGGACCCAACACACCUGAACACUGUCAAAGCCCCGGUAACAAUGACACCUCCAUCCACGAGAAGAGGACAGACAUCAGAGUAUUGGAUCUGUUUGCAUAUACCAGAAGAGAACCUUGGUCCCAUACCCACCGGAAAGCAAGAAACUCCUGCUACACCCACCAGAAGAAAGGAUGAGAAGAGGACAAGGUAAGAGCACAUUCAACAACAGAAAACUCAAUAUGACACCACCGGAGACUAGGAACCAUACAUCAGCAAGACCUGAACAUCACAAUGCAAAUGAACCAGAAGAGAAUGACCUUAAAAACAUCUUCAGAAAAAUGAUAGAGGACCUCAAAAUAG